UAGGGAAUCUUGCGCAAUGGGCGAAAGCCUGACGCAGCAACGCCGCGUGGGGGAUGAAGGCCCUCGGGUUGUAAACCCCUUUCAGCAGGGACGAAACUGACGGUACCUGCAGAAGAAGCCCCGGCCAACUACGUGCCAGCAGCCGCGGUAAUACGUAGGGGGCGAGCGUUGUCCGGAUUCAUUGGGCGUAAAGAGCUCGUAGGCGGCUUGGCAAGUCGGGUGUGAAAUCUCUGGGCUUAACUCAGAGAGGCCACUCGAUACUGCUAUGGCUAGAGUCCGGUAGGGGACCAUGGAAUUCCUGGUGUAGCGGUGAAAUGCGCAGAUAUCAGGAGGAACACCGGUGGCGAAGGCGGUGGUCUGGGCCGGUACUGACGCUGAGGAGCGAAAGCGUGGGGAGCGAACAGG
rnacentral:rRNA from 1 species